rnacentral:rRNA from 1 species
AUUGAACGCUGGCGGCAGGCCUAACACAUGCAAGUCGAACGGUAGCACAGAGAGCUUGCUCUCGGGUGACGAGUGGCGGACGGGUAAGUAAUGUCUGGGAAACUGCCCGAUGGAGGGGGAUAACUACUGGAAACGGUAGCUAAUACCGCAUAACGUCGCAAGACCAAAGUGGGGGACCUUCGGGCCUCACACCAUCGGAUGUGCCCAGAUGGGAUUAGCUAGUAGGUAGGAUAAUGGCUCACCUAGGCGACGAUCCCUAGCUGGUCUGAGAGGAUGACCAGCCACACUGGAACUGAGACACGGUCCAGACUCCUACGGGAGGCAGCAGUGGGGAAUAUUGCACAAUGGGCGCAAGCCUGAUGCAGCCAUGCCGCGUGUAUGAAGAAGGCCUUCGGGUUGUAAAGUACUUUCAGCGGGGAGGAAGGCGGUGAAGUUAAUAGCUUCACCGAUUGACGUUACCCGCAGAAGAAGCACCGGCUAACUCCGUGCCAGCCGCCGCGGUAA